GGGAUUUGGAGUUUUGAAGGUGUUCUUAAGCAAAGAGGUUUCUCCUCUUCCAACGGUGACAUUACGGCUGUUGUGGGCUAGAAAGCAAUCUACGAGUGAAUUGGGUUUGUUAAAUCGUAUGCGGCAAGGUAAUACUAUGAAAGAUAGGGGAUAUUCUUUGGAGGAGUAUGCAAGACAAACUCAAUCGUUGAAGAAUGCAAAGUCUGAAGUUUGAUGUAUUGAUUGUAGGAAUUUUUCUAAAGUAGAAUGAAAACAUCGACUUCUUAUUUAUGAUUGUAAGACUUUUUGAAAGUGAAAUGAAAACAAUGAAUUUAUAAUUAUGAUUGUAAGACUUUUUGAAAGUUG